rnacentral:lncRNA from 1 species
GACAGAUGAUGGGGACUGGACUCAUCUAAGUGGGCAUGAGUGGCCGGACCACACCUACGGAACCCGUCUGGGUCACUCCAUGGCUGCACUUGCGACAGAUCUUCAGUGGUCAGGGUCCAUUCAGCUGCUCACGCCAGAGAUGGACUCAACGGUGGCAUUGUGUAUAAGCUUCUGGCACAAGCUGUCCAUUGGCGCGAAAGACUCCCUGUCUGUGCACAUCCUGAGGGAGGGUGAGCUGGGUCCGGUUCUCUGGAUCCUGACUGGGGCGUCCCCCUCAGAUUGGGAGGUGUCGGAG